rnacentral:lncRNA from 1 species
UGAGGACCGGAGCCAUGAAACGACCAGCAGUACUGUCCUUGUACAAAGUGGGGAGAGGGUCUAAGACUUCAACAACGCCCAAGUCGAGGUUUAUCGCAAGACCAACCCUGUGUUUAUCGCCCCAUAUCAUGGGUGUGUAGACAGUCAACACAUCUUCCAUCCAUUUCUUCCCGGGCUGGAGAACAAGACCCGUCAGCUGGUCGUCCCAUGCGAAGGUAUCUCUCUUUCUUGACUUGUUGAAAUCCUUGGAUAUUGCCUGGAU